rnacentral:misc_RNA from 1 species
AAGCUAAAUCCAUUUAUAAAAUUGAAAUUGCGAUCAAAUUUAAACUUGAUAUUUUAACUGAUUUAAGGUUCUGAUGGAUGAAAUUAAUACUGCAAGUUAAUGUUUUAUGAAAGAGUGUAAACACCACAAAUGGAUUUCAUCAGGGAUGAUCUUUCAUCCAGAUAUUUUGGAGUUUCAGGAUCUACAAAACCACAACUAUCUUUCCAGAAAAGAUGUGGAUAUGUUGACUGGAAAAAAUUGGCAUCAGUUGAUGUGGAUCAAGUUGCUCGUAAUCUAGAUUUCAGAGCUCUGCAGGAAAAUAUUUCCAAUGUGACUUUUUGUAACAUAGAAAGUGAAGUGAUUCCUGGUUCUGUUGACCCCAAUUUUUUGAAAUUAUUCAAGCUGGCCCAGCUUAUGAUUGAAUACCUUUUGCAUUCUCAGGAAUAUUUAACUGAAGUACUUCAAGUUAUUGAAGAAAAACAUGAACAGACAAGUAAAGAAUUAUCUGAGCUUCAAGCACUUAGAGUUAAUGAUCAGAAGCAGUUGCAGGAACUUCGAAAAGAAAACAAGAAACGAAGGAAGAUGCUUCUCCAAAAUCAACAGAAUCUCCAAGCUGAAAUUGUACCAGGGUAUUUCAAAUGUGAGUUUUGCCCAAAGGUCUUUGUUUCUGCUGCCUACCUACAAAGUCAUCAUGGAAGACGUCAUGGGGAUAAGCUACAAACUGCACAAGCGGCUAUUGUAAAUGAUCCCAAGAUAGAAGAACUUGAAAAGGAGCUGAGUCAGAUUCAUAAUAGACUUAAAGAAACACAAGAGGAGUUAGAGAAGGAGAGAGCUUCUUUUGCCAACCUUUGUGCUAAGGCAGAACAAGAGACUGUUGCUAGAAAGGAAGAAGUUAAAAAAGAAAUUGAAUUUUGGAAGGAACAACAACAGGAAAUUCAGAAGAAAGAGUUGGAAAGUGUGAAAGAGAUGUUUUUGAAAGAAAUGCAAGAACUAAAUGAAAAGCAUCUGAUAUCAGAACAAGCUUUGAUGGAGUUGCGUGCUAAGUACAAUACUCUUACUCCUCCUUCUAACUUGGGUGUAUUGGUUGAUGCAGAAAACAUGAAAGUAAAUGAAGAAUUACACAAACAAAGAGAAGAGACAACUCUAUUGAAAGAGCAACUUCAAUUACAGCUAACUCAAGUUCAAAAACAUCUUGAAGAAACUAUAAAAGGUCAGGAGAAACAAUGGAGAGCAAAAUUAAGACAAGUUACACAGGAGCAUGCACUGGAACUUGAAAAACUCAACAAUGCUUUAGAACAAAGUGUAAAGCACUUGCAGAAAGAAAGACAACAGACAGGUAACCAAGAAGAACACCAUGAACGCCAGAUUCGGAAGUUGUUGGAAAGAUCCCGCAGACAGGAAAUGCGUUUGAAAAACCAGGAAAAGCAAAUACAUGAAUUGGCUACUAAACCUGCCUUAUCACAGUUUGUCUCUCCUAUAAAAAGUCCUCCAACUCCUCCUCCUAGAAAAGUGUCAUUGCCUAGAACUCCCCAAGUAUUGGAAAAAGAAAGGGAAAAUCAGUAUGGUUUUGUCAGAAGUGAAAGACUUUUUUAUGCUCUUCAAAAGAAUCCCAAUCUUUUAGAACAAUUGAAAUGUGAUUUAGAGGAGGAUGUAGAGGAAAUGCUGCAGAAACGAGGUGUCACAAAGAAUAUUACUUCCUUAUCAACACCUGUGUUGAAAAAGAAGUUAGCUUUACUAAAGAAGAAAAGGAAGGUUUUAGGAGAGAAAUAUGAUGACUUCUAUACUAUAAGAAACCACUAUAAGAGUACUGUGGAUGAAGCAGCAAGAAUUCGAGCCAAAGAAGCAUCCAAAAAUGCCAUUCCAAACAAAUCUCCUAAAAACCCAUUUAAAAAGAUGUUUGACACUGUGCUAUCCAAGGUUGAAAGCAGCAAAAAACCUGAACCAUCCCCUAAAUUGGCACCAAGAAGAGCUUAUAGAGACGUUGUUCAACAUAAGGCCAAUUCUGAAAGUUCCUUGGAAACAAGUGAGGAAUCUGAAGAGGAACUAGACAAGAGUUAUGAUAGCAGAGUAAAAGUAUCAGCACUCCAUCAAAGUCCUGAGAAAUGGAAUUUGACUAAAACUUCAUCUCCAAAAUCUGCUGAGAGGAUGUACAGUGAGAGUAGUGAAGAAGAAUUCUCUGACACUGUAAGGCCUGUUGUGAGAAGAGUUGAACCAAAUAUUGUCACGGUUCAUGAAGGUAGGGGUCAAAAAGUUGCAGAAAUAACUCAAGUUAUGGAGCAGAUGAUUUCAAAUCGUUCAAUAAAACCUCCUAGUGGUGCUGUAGAUGUGCUAAAACCAAAAACACAGCAUAAGAAUCCAAGUAUUGUUAUGCAAGAGUAAAGCACUAGCUAGUAAGGAAAUGGGAAGUCUGAAUAACACAGGUAGCAGUAGUUGCUGGGACUCAAGCUCAUCAAAGAAAGAUUUGUUACCUGGAAAGAAAGAACAGAACCCAGGGACAAGUUCUUCCACAGGGAAAGGU